AUUCCAGUCUCCUGUCAGUCUCCAAUGACACCAUUUAGGAAGAAGUGGAGGAUGUGGCUCUUGGAAAGUGUGAGAUCCAGGUUUAUCAUACAGUUGGUUGAUGGAGAGAAAGCACUCAGAAUUUAACUCAUCUUUUGCCUUGGAGACUUAGAUCUCAGUAUGGGCGUGUGUGCUGACUUGCUUCAGUCAUGUCCAACUUUAUGACUCUGUGGACUGUAGCCCUCCAGGCUCCUCUGUCCAUGGGAUUCUCCAGGCAAGAAGACUGGAGAGGGUGCCAUGCCCUCCUCUAGGGAAUCUUCCUGACCCAGGGAUCGAACCCAUGUCUCUUAUGUUUUCUGCAUGAGCAGAUUCUGGUGGGUGGGUGCAGAGAUCUACUUGUCCUGCGGCUCCCCUGAGAUAAACCAUCCAGCAACUCCUCCCUGUUGUUAAAGCUCCACCUACCAGUCCGCAGUUCUCGCGAGAAGGAGCUCCCAAACAUGGCUGCCGCCAGUGUCUGUGUUUCUGGAAGGAGCUGCAGGCGACCCCUUACCACCUCUCCAGGAGCCUCUCCAAGACCCGCAGGCAGUAUGAUGACCACAAAUGGAUUUCAGGAUGUGGACAGUCACUGGAGACCUGAAAAGGAUGGACGAGGACCUUCAAGGAUGUACAACACAGGAAACUCUGCUCAAUGUUAUAUGGCAGCCUGGAUGGGAGAGGAGUUUGGAGGAGAGUGGAUACACAUAUAUGUAUGGCUGAGUCCCUUGGCUGUCUGCCUGAAAGUAUCAUAACAUUGUUAAUCGGCUAUACUCCAAUAUAAAAUAAAAAGUAAAAAAAAAAAAUAUUGCAAACUGACAAGGUGGGUCUGCUCCGGAGCCAUCUCUUUUCAGCCCCUGCGUGGAGCAGCUGAUAUGAUCCCAGGCGCUCCUAAAAAACCUGUGUUCUCUCUGGGUGUGGAAAUAGAGCUCUCCAGGCAGGCAGGAGUGUCUGCUGCCCAGGUGACCUAGGACAGCCCUGCCUGAUUUAUCCAGGAAACAGCUGACCCCCAUUAGGGCGCUGAUCAGCAUAGAUAGGCCCGAUGAAGGUGCGCCCUUGACACCACAGUUGGUUAACUUCUGAGCACUGGCCGACACUUCAUAGUGCUGAGCUGUGUGAGAAAGCUCUUCUUCCAGAAGCCACAGGCCCCAGAAGCUCUGCCUAGAUGGGUGACAUUUGUGUGGAUAAACCUCGAGUGGCCUUGACUCCACUCCCUGUUCAGGACUGCUUUGUCCUGAGCUGCUAAAUUUCUUCUCUCUCCUCUCCUAGGAGAGGAUGAUUAGCAUCCGUCCACUUCCAUUUCUGUCCCCUCAGACCCCAAAUGGCACAGAAACAACCCCUCAGAAGUAAUGACAAAUGUAAGGGUGACCCACCCAGCCAGGGUAUUGUGAAUGGGAAGCUUAGUAUCUCAAACCCACAUCGUUGUUAUUUACUUACUAAGUUGUGUCUGAUUCUUUGUGACCCCAUGGACUGUAGCCCGCCAGGCUCCUCUGUUCAUGAGAUUCUCCAGGCAAGAAUACUGGAGUGGAUUGCCAUUUCCUCCUCCAGGGGAUCUUCCCUAUCCAGGGAUCGAACACACGUCUCUUGUGUUUCCUACCUUAGUAGGCAGAUGCUUUACCACUAGCGCCAUUUUCAAAGUUGUGCGUGACAAAUGAAACAAGACUGAUCACAGUUCCCGAUACCUAGUAAGCUCCCAAUGAAUAUUCACUAAAAAUGUAUUAGCU
ensembl:lncRNA